UGGUGGAGAUUGUUGGGCCUCAUGUGGUGCUCUCAAAGCUCAAGAGACCAAGGCUACAGCCAAGGUCCAAAAUCCAUGAGGUGGUCAUGGGGUUUCUAGGGCUAGUUUGGGUCCUAGGAUGAAAGGUUGUUAGCCUUUCGGGUCUUGAGGUUCAGAGAUUUUGGAUCUUGAGGGGGCUAACUUAUUUGGACUAGGAUUGAGUUUAAAAUUAUGAGAUUGGGUCAAGUCA
rnacentral:lncRNA from 1 species